CAGCAGCCGCGGUAAUACGUAGGUGGCAAGCGUUGUCCGGAAUUAUUGGGCGUAAAGGGCUCGCAGGCGGUUUCUUAAGUCUGAUGUGAAAGCCCCCGGCUCAACCGGGGAGGGUCAUUGGAAACUGGGGACCUUGAGUGCAGAAGAGGAGAGUGGAAUUCCACGUGUAGCGGUGAAAUGCGUAGAGAUGUGGAGGAACACCAGUGGCGAAGGCGACUCUCUGGUCUGUAACUGACGCUGAGGAGCGAAAGCGUGGGGAGCGAACAGGAUUAGAUACCCCUGGUAGUCCACGCCGUAAACGAUGAGUGCUAAGUGUUAGGGGGUCUCCGCCCCUUAGUGCUGUAGCUAACGCAUUAAGCACUCCGCUUUGGGAGUACGGUCGCAAGCACUGAAACUCAAAGGAAUUGAGGG
rnacentral:rRNA from 1 species